AGGUGACUGCUUUUGCUUGGAUAAUCUGAAUUAUACAGCAAAUUCCUUUUAAGUCUUAUGUAUUGAAUACUUGUCCUGUGUUUGCUAAGGUCAAACAAAUCUAAAUCAAGAGUGUAAUGAGAGGUUUUGGCAGUCUGGUGUAACUGCUUGGAGAAUCACUUUUCAGUGAAGUCAGAGAUUUUGGGAUGAUUUUUUAGAAGGCGUGCAUCAGGACAACAAAUAGGGAAAUGCUUUCCACCAAUGUCCUUUCCAUGGCAAAGCUUGUGGAUAGCCAAGUUUAUAAUAUGGUGAAAGUGUGGGCCUUGGAAUAGUUUCAGUUGAGAACAAAAUGAUGUCACCUUGUGUAUUUAGUGUUAUCUGCAAGGUUCAACUGACGUGCGAUAUAACUAAUAUAGUGAUUUUAUGGGAAACUU